GCCGGGCGUGGUGGCGCACGCCUGUAAUCCCAGAGGCUUGGGAGGCUGAGACAGGAGAAUCACAAGUUCAAAGCAAGCCUCAGCAACUACAAGGCACUAAGCAACUCAGUGAGACCCCGUCUCUA
rnacentral:sRNA from 1 species